rnacentral:rRNA from 1 species
UACGUAGGGUGCGAGCGUUGUCCGGAAUUAUUGGGCGUAAAGGGCUCGUAGGUGGUAUGUCGCGUCGGGAGUGAAAACACCGGGUUUAAUUUGGUGCUUGCUUCCGAUACGGGCAGACUAGAGGCAUGCAGGGGAGAACGGAAUUCCUGGUGUAGCGGUGAAAUGCGCAGAUAUCAGGAGGAACACCGGUGGCGAAGGCGGUUCUCUGGGCAUGUCCUGACGCUGAGGAGCGAAAGUGUGGGGAGCGAACAGG